rnacentral:rRNA from 1 species
AAGGAAUAUUGGUCAAUGGACGCAAGUCUGAACCAGCCAUGCCGCGUGCAGGAAGACGGCCCUAUGGGUUGUAAACUGCUUUUAUAUAGGAAUAAACUCAUGUUCGUGAACAUGACUGAAGGUACUAUAAGAA